AUCGCGUCGCCCCCCGCACUCCGCGCCCAGAAUCAUGGACGCGGUGGUGUCGCGGGGCGGAUACUGGCCUCCCGUGCGCCCCGAGCACGCGGUUGGCCUAAAUGCGAGUCCACGGCGACGGACGUCACGACAAGUGGUGGUUGAAACUCAACUCUCGUAAUGUCGCGGCUCCGGCCCGUCGCACGUUUGGGCUCCACGACCCUUGUUGCGCUUAGGCGCUCCGACC
rnacentral:misc_RNA from 1 species